GGAGCGCUGAGAAGGUGACGAAGACGAGGAGUCCAGGGUCAGAGCUGGAAUCAGACGUCGCCGCUGGAGGCCUAAAAGAAGAGAAAGGAGCCAUGGUGUAAACUACAUCAUCCUCCCCAGGGAGAAGAGUCCCACUUCCUCCUAUAGAUGCUGCUGCAGCUAAGGUAUCGGUGGGACAUCGUCGUCACAGAGUGUCUCAGCUGAGCCCAGGCUGGCAGAGAGGGAUGCGGUUGGCUCUCGGACUUGUGGGCUCAUCCCUGCAGGAGAAGUCCUGGACAGCAGUGACUCUGUGGAGGAGCGGCCACUGUCUGCAGCCAAACUGUCUGCAGAGUCACAGGAGCACAGUUAACGUUGAAAUUAAAUGUGUUCCAAGUUCAGAUGGCAUGCAUUGACGUAUUUGGUAAAUUUGUUACAUGGUGCAUUUAUCUGUUACAAGCUACUAUUCAGAGAUAGGUAGAGUACCCAAAAAUUGCACUCAAGUAGGAGUAGCACUAUUUGAACAUAUUUUUAUUUAGGCAAAAGUAAAAGUAGCUGUCUAAGAAAUCACUAAAGAGUAAGAAAUUGUCUGUGCCUCUAUUAGAUUGUGCAUAGCCAUGUUAAAAAAUUGCUACAUCUCAGUCUAAAAUUGCUUUGCUUUUCUUCUUUGAAGUGGAUCAGGAAGAGAUAUGUUAUUUUUAUGUUUUGUUCUGUAAAGUUAUCCUUAAAAUAAAGUAAUGGAAAAAGAGGA